AUGAACGCUGGCGGCGUGCUUAACACAUGCAAGUCGAACGAUUAAAGCUCACUUCGGUGAGUAUAUAGAGUGGCGAACGGGUGAGUAACACGUGGGAAACCUGCCCCUUUCUUCGGGAUAACUCUGGGAAACUGGUGCUAAUACCGAAUACUCCGGGAUGAUCGCAUGAUCGACCUGGGAAAAGCUUUAUGUGGAAAGGGAUGGUCCCGCGGCCCAUUAGCUAGUUGGUGGAGGUAACGGCCCCACCAAGGCGACGAUGGGUAGCCG
rnacentral:rRNA from 1 species